rnacentral:rRNA from 1 species
CCUACGGGUGGCAGCAGUGAGGCAUAUUGGUCAAUGGGCGCAAGCCUGAACCAGCCAAGUCGCGUGAGGGAAGACGGCCCUACGGGUUGUAAACCUCUUUUGCCGGGGAGCAAGCCUGAGCACGUGUGCCCAGGCGGCGUGUACCCGAAGAAAAAGCAUCGGCUAACUCCGUGCCAGCAGCCGCGGUAAUACGGAGGAUGCGAGCGUUAUCCGGAUUUAUUGGGUUUAAAGGGUGCGUAGGCGGUCCGGAAAGUCAGCGGUAAAAGCCCGGGGCUCAACCCCGGCGAGCCGUUGAAACUGUCGGACUAGAGACGGCGAGAAGUACGCGGAAUGCGCGGUGUAGCGGUGAAAUGCAUAGAUAUCGCGCAGAACUCCGAUUGCGAAGGCAGCGUACCGGCGCCGGACUGACGCUGAGGCACGAAAGCGUGGGUAUCGAACAGGAUUAGAUACCCGUGUAGUC